rnacentral:lncRNA from 1 species
CCCUUUGUUCAGGUCUCUUCUGAAGAAAGGCACCAGAGGCUCCAGCUCUGGCCAUAAUGCCCCAGAUGAAGCUUGACAGGAGAACUGGACACAACAGGCCAGACGGAGUUUCACCAUGUUGGCCAGGAUGGUCUCUGUCUCUUGACCUCGUGAUCCGCCCGCCUUGGACUUCCAGAGUGCUGGGAUUACAGGCAUGAGCCACCACGCCCAGCCUUGUUUUUGUAUAUUUUGUAGAGACAGGUCUUACUAUGUUGCCCAGGUUUGUCUUGGAGCUCCACUCCAAGGUGGAGCUCAAGCGAUCCACCUGCCUCAGCCUCCCAAAGUGCUGGGAUUACAGAUGUGAGCCACCAUGCCCAGCCUUCAUGGGUUUCCCUAGGAUCACCAGCUGUCAUGGACUGAUUUGUGUCUCUCCAAAUUCAUAUGUUGAAUACUUAACCUGCCAUGCGAUUGUGAUUGGAGAUAAUUCCUUUAGGGAAGCAAUGAAGGUUAAAUGAGGUCAUAGGUGGGAGCUUAAUCCAAUGGGACUGGGGUCCCUACAAGAAGAGGAAGACACCAGAGCUCUCUGUCUCCACACACAGAGAAAAGAGGCUGUAUGAGGACACAAGAGAAGGUAAUAGCUGUCUACAAACCAAGAAGAGAAGCCUCUCCAGAAAAUGAACCCUGCUGGAACUUGGUCUUGGACUUUCCAGCCUCCAGAACUGGGAGAAAAUAAAGUUCAAAAUAAAGUUCUGUUGUGUAAGCCCCCGAGUCCAUGGUAUUUUGUUAUGGCAGCCCUAGCAGACUAAUAACACCUGCUAAUUAAACUGCUUGUUCUCCACUUGUUGUCUCAGGGUCUGUUCCUAGGGAACCUGGACUCAGACAGAUGCUCUGCUUAAUUAGACCCCAGGGAAAUGUAAAUGAAAACCACGUGUGAUGCCAUGUCACAAGUACUAGGAUAACCAGAAGGAAAUCUGACCACAUCGGAUGCUGGUGAGGUUGGGAAGCUGUCAUAUUUAGCUGACGGAGGUGUGAGUCGGCAAACCACUUUGGAAAACUGUUUGUCAGUAUGAAAUAAAGCUAAAGCUAUGUAAACUAUAUGGCCUAGCAACUUCGCUAAUAGGUACGCCUCAGCAGAAAUACAUACAGACGUUCACCAAAAGACAGGUGCAAAAAUAUUCGAAGUAGCACUCUUUGGGGUAACUCCAAAUUGGAAGCAGCCCAACUUCCAUCAGCAG